CUUCCCAUCCCGAACAGAGAAGUUAAGCCCGGUUGCGCCGAUGGUACUGCAAUGCAAUGUGGGAGAGUAGGUAGCUGCCUUUU
rnacentral:rRNA from 1 species